rnacentral:misc_RNA from 1 species
GAUGAAGAACGCAGCGAAAUGCGAUAAGUAAUGCGAAUUGCAGAAUUUCCGUGAGUCAUCGAAUCUUUGAACGCACAUUGCACCCACUGGUAUUCCGGUGGGCAUGCCUGUUCGAGCGUCAUUAUCCUCCCUCAAACCCCGGGUUUGGUGUUGGACCCAAGUUGUGUGAACAACUGGUCUCAAAGACAAUGACGGCGUCCGUGGGACCCUUGGUGCAACGAGCUUUUAGGAGCACGCGCCGAGUUGCAAGGACCUUCCGGGCCGGUCUCCUUUACUAUUUUACAAGGUUGACCUCGGAUCAGGUAGGAAUACCCGCUGAACUUAAGCAUAUCAAUAAGCGGAGGA